AGAUAAGAUGCAAAGGAAAAGACACUUUUUGAAUGGUGGAAAAUUUGAGUUCCUCAAAGAGAACAUAGCAUAUCUUUCUCCAUUUCAUUAUAUUUAUGCAGGCAUGUUGUUGGAACAUGAGAAACCAAAGCUUUAUAAUGUUCUAACGAAUAAAUAGUUCGGUUUUGCAGUUUUCGUGAAAUGAUGCAGCCGGUCGCAGCAAUAGUUCGUUCUUCAGAAUACAUUCCUAUUCCCCCCAACUCAAUAUGCUGUUAGAAAAGAGCUGAGAGUUGUUCUACAAUGACGAAACCUAGCUGUUUUCGAGAUUGUAAAAGAAGGUAGCUACAGAAAACUUGGAAAAUCUUGUGCCGUUUUGCUUUAGCACGAAGAUACGAGAAGUACUCUAGUAAGAAACUCAGUUUCCUAUUCCGUAUUUCAUGUUAUUUUGUAUUACUAUGUUCUGUACUUUAAGAGAAUUGCUCUUGGGAGUCAUUCUAUAGAUGUAAUGCAUCAAUUUGAUCUAAUAAUGAGUCAUUAACAUUAUGUUCUUGCUAAAUAACAUGAACACGAACAUGAACAGCAGUACAAGCAACCGGCCUCUUAUUCGGAACCUUUUUGUGAAUUCAUUUUAGGAGCAGAAAGAAAACAUUGGAGGCAAUCCAUCUAGGAUAUGCGAUCGGAAUUACUGAGUGCCAAGGUGUAUGAUCUCUUUCUGAGCACCCUCGAUGAACUUCGGAUUCAGUAGGGAACACAGAUCCUGUGUGUAUUAGGACCAGCUACCAUAUCAUGCCAAAGCAGAUCGGA
rnacentral:lncRNA from 1 species